rnacentral:lncRNA from 1 species
GUUCUGUUCCUCACGUCUCCUCCAUGUUUGGAUGUUUAAUAUGAAUGCGUGGCACUUGUGUAAUUUAAAGAUGUGAACAAGAGAAAACCAUGACUCCUCAUCUCUAGGAAUGACAACUAAGGGACCUCGCAGGACCUCGCAGGACGUGUGCUUUAAGGCAGAGGCAGAAGAAGCACGGUCCAGAGCCAGUCAGGGCCACACGCGCACCAUGUGGGAACAGGGGACAAAGUGCACAGCUCAGCUGCAACCCGAGAGCACAGGUAUUGGGCACCAGGGCUAAGGGUUCAUUUUUUGCUGGAACCAAAGAACCAAAACUUACAAAGGCAGAAGUGACCGCAUUUCAGCUGCUGGCAGAGAGGCACGUAAGCUGCUCGGUCCUGUUCUAACUCAAAACCACCGGGUGGCACUGCCCGGACUGCCAUGUAGGGAAGGGCACGUAGAUCCGGGCGGGGCUCCUUCCGUGCCCGAGGGACCCCAGGGAUCAGCGUGCAGGGAGCUCGCAGGAGGGUCCCAAGGCCUGGCCUCAGACCUCCCUCGAAUUGCCCUGAACUCGGGCUGAAAAGGGGCCAUAAGGUGCCAAGGCAAAUCUUGGCCACCGGAAGACGCUUGGGAGCUGCAGCGACACGCCCCGGUCCUGCUCACCUCCUGCACUCGCAGGGGUGUCCGCAGGGUGCCCGUGGGGCGGCAGAAGAAAACACCCAUGCUCUGGGGCGGGGGCAACCUGAACCAGGGGUUGGCUUCCUUCCCCCUGAGCGCUCAGGGGAACCACUGGGUCCCUGGGUUUUGAGUCAGUCAGUCACACGGGGAGCAGGCGGGUGCAUUGAGAAUUGACUGCCAGGACCUUGGGGUUUCCGAGCGGACCGUCCUGGAAGCUGCUUGAAGGACCUUGAAGUAGAAAACCCCGCCCCCUCUCCUGGGACGACUUCAGCAUUUGGAGGGGUUUCUGCCAAGCAACUUGCAGUCGGGUCCAGGCCUUGGACUUCACAUCAGGUUCAAGCCCCCCUUGGAGAGGUGCCGUGUGGAUCAAGCCAGAAGGAAGAGACUGGUGCUUCUGAACGGAGCUGUUACCACUGGUGUCUGUUAGUCAUGUGAUCAUCAUUAAUAAGUAACACUGGUUCAGUACUUACUACCUGGAAGGUGCACUUUUAAAUACUUCCUGUAUCACCUCAUCUAACCCUUACAACAAUCCUGCGGGCUUGGGCACUUUUAUUACCAUUUUUCAGGUAAGGAAACUGAGGCACAGAGAACAGAAGCAACUGUCCAGGCUUGGACAGAUGGUGGGAGGAGAUGCUGGCGUCCAGGUCUAGAUCCCGCUUGAGCCUGGCUCUUGAUCUCCCUCUCCACUGUGCAGUAAGCUCGUCUGUCUCCUGAGACUUCCCAGGAUCUGUGGAAAUAAACAGCAGGACAGGAAGGAACAAAAGGUUCCUCUAGAAAGAAACCAGGGUAUGGAGGGAGGGGGUAAGUGAUACUGGCCAAAUUAUAUUGUUACAUCAUGUGUGUAUGUGAAUAUGUAACAACAAAUCUCAUCAUCCUGAACAUCUACAAUACACCAAUAAAAAAUGUGGAAAAAGAAAGAUUCCUCUAGGGUAUGCACAAAAAUGAACAUUGCUGUGAAUAAGUUGGUUCUCAGCCAUUAGUUCAAGGAGGGGAAAGUAUUAAGUUUCUAGGGGGAAAAGAUCUUAUUCAUCCAUUUUUAGUGGCUAAAAUGAAAUGCCUGAGGCAGGCUAACCUUAUAAAGAAAAGAGUUUUAUUUGGCUCACAGUUUUGGAUGCCUGGGGCAAACACUCUGAGGAUUUGAGAUCUGAAAAAUACAAACCUUGGAUUGGCUAACUUCACUUAGCAUUAUCUUCUCUAACUCCAUCCAUUUACCUGCAAAUGCCAUGAUUUUAUUCUCUUAUAAGGCUGAGUAAUAUUCCAUUGUGUAUAUAUGCCACAUUUUUUUUUAUCCAUUCAUGUACUAAAGGGCCUUGAGGUUGGCCCCACAGUUUAGCUAUUGUGAAUUGUGCUGCUAUAAACAUUGAUGUGGCUGUGUCCCUGUAGUGUGCUGUUUUUAAGUCCUUUGGGUAUAGACCGAGGAGAAGGAUAGCUGGGUCAAAUGGUGGUUCCAUUCCCAGUUUUCCAAGGAAUCUCCACACUGCUUUCCAUAUUGGCUGCACCAAUUUGCAGUCCCACCAGCAAUGUAUGAGUGUGCCUUUUCCCCCACAUCCUUGCCAACACUUAUUGUUGUUUGUAUUCAUAAUAGCUACCAUUAGCCAAUACCAAAAAACUGAAUGCUGAAUGUUUUCUCUGAUAUAAAGGAGGCUGACUCAUAGUAGGAUAGGGAGGGGGAGCAUGGGAGGAAUAGAUGAACUCUAGAUAGGGACAGAUGAACUGGAGGGGAAGGAAGGGGGCAGGGGGUUAGAAAUGAUGGUGGAAUGUGAUGGACAUCAUUAUCCAAAGUACGUGUAUGAAGACAUGAAUUGGUGUCAACAUACUUUGUAUACAACCAGAGAUAUGAAAAAAUUGUGCUCUAUAUUAUGUAUUUGUAAUAUGAAUUGUAAUGCAUUCUGCUGUCAUAUACAAUAAAAAGUUAGUAAUAAAUAUUAACUUGUGGGCUAGGGCUACAGCUCAGUGGUAGAGCGCCUGCCUUGCAUGUGUGAGGCACUGGGUUCGAUCCUCAGCACCACAUAAAACUGAAUAAAUAAAGAUAUUGUGUCUAUCGACAAGUAAAUAAAUAUUUUAAAAAAUAUUAACUUGGGAUUUAUGAAUAAAUGUUCAUGAUAAAUUUACAAAUUUAGAAUCAAAUGAAAAAAAGGACAAACCUUUAGCCCAACCCCUCUUUCCUAGGAAGGACCUGUUCACUAAGGAGAGGGUUGCUCCAAGCACACCAGGCUAUUAAGGAGACUUGGGCCUCUGGGGUUUCCUGAUUCAAAGCUUGCCUUUGGAUGCCUCCCGCCGCGUUCUCUGUUCUGGAACACUACCUUUUGGUGCUUAGAGGCACUGCUCUGUUCUGCACCACGCUGCUCCCUGAUUGCUUAUUAUGGGCUAUACAGAUAGGGAAAUAUUUGCUGUCAGGACUGAAAAUCAGUUUUAACCUGCAUUUAUUCCAAGGAUUGAACUUGUACUCGAUUCAGAUUGAGCAUCCCUUAUUCAAAAUGCUUGAGACCACAAAUGUUUUGGCCUUUGAUUAUUUUGGAUUUUAGAAUAUUUGCAUACAUAAUGAGCUCUCUUGGGAGGCCACCCCAGUCUGAACAUGAAAUUCAUUUAUGUUUCACAUGUACCUUAUGCACAUAGCUGAAGGUAAUUUUAUUAUAGUAUUUUAAAUAAUUUUGCUUAUGAAAGAAAGCUUCAAGCUGUGUAAUUUUCCAAUUGUGGAAUCGUGUCAGUGCUCCAAAGUCUUGCAUUUUAGAGCACUUUGUAUUUUGAAUUUUUACGCCAUGGUGCUCGGCCUGUAUUCACAGAGUUGUGUGUCCAUCGCCAUGAUCCAGUUUUAGAUCAUCACCCCCAAAACAUCCCCAAUGCUGGUUCUCAGUCCAUGGUACCUCCGCAUCACAGGUAAUCUUUUGUUUCUUGCUCACUUUGCUUUCGCUGGACAUGGACUCCCUGUGGAUUCCUGUACUCUGCCAUGUAUUCUGUCUGGUUUCUUUAACUUAAAAUGUUUUUGAGAUUCAUCCAUUUUAACAUUUUGAGAGUAGAUCAUUAAUUUUUUAAAAACUAUUUUUUUUAGUUGUGGAUGGACAUAAUACCUUUAUUUAAUUUAUUUAUUUAGAUGUGGUGCUGAGGAUCGAACUCAGUGCCUCAUACGUGGGAGGCAAGCCCUCUGCCACUGUAAGCCACAACCUCAGCCCUGAUCAUUACUGUGUCCUUAAUGACUUAACACAGAAAUGACUUAAUACAGGUUGAGCAUCAUUACUUUGUAUUGCUGAGUUCUAGUCCAUUGUAUAGAUACACCACAUUUUACUUGUUCAUUCACAAGUUAGUAGGCAUUGUGAUUGAUUUCAGUUUGGGACCAUUACAAAUAAUGUUGCUAUAAACAUUUGUAUGCAUGUUUUGGUUUUGCAUGAACAUGUUUUUAUUUUUCUUGGGAGUAAAAUUACUGAGCUAUAUUUUCCUGUUUUUUCCCCCGCCUCCCCUUGCUACAUCAUAGACUUGUGAAAAACUGAAAUUUAUUUCUCACUCAUCUAGAGCCUGGGAAUUCCACAAUCAAAGUGCCCAGGGACUUAGUGUCUGGGGCCUCAUGGAUGGCACCUUCUCUGUCCUGAUAUGGUGACAGGUGCCAGUGAGCUCCCCCGGGCCUCUUUUAUAAGGGCACUAAUCCCAUUCAUGAGAGUUUUGCCCUCAAGAUCCAAUCAGCUCUGAAAGGCCCCACUUGCUAAGGCUACCACACUAGGAAUAGAUUUCUACACACAAAUUUGGGAGUGGGGUACACAAACAUAUAGACUAUAGUGCAUAUGCUCAAUCUAUGUUAACUUUUUAAGAAAUUGCUGAAUUAUUUUACAAAGUGAUCGUACCAUUUUACAUUUCCACCAGCAGAGUAUGAGACCUUUAGUUUUUCCAUACCUUGCCAAUAUUAGUAUUAUCUAUCUUUUUGGGGAUAGCUGUUCUGUUGGGUGUGCGGUGGUAUCUCUUUGUAGCUUUAGUUGGCAUUUUUCUCAUACUGAUGUUGAAUAUUCUUUCAUGUGAUUAUUUACCAUUCAUAUGGCUCUUUUGUUGAAAUGUUAAGACUUUCACUCAUUUGUAAACUGGGU